rnacentral:lncRNA from 1 species
CAGGCAGGUCCUGCCUCUGCUUGCAUGAAAGUUUUGCGCUCGGUUGUUCAAGAGAGUAAUCACAAUUGUACUGAUAGAAGUGCUGGAAUUCUACUUGUGCAAGCUGAUGAUCCCACAACAGUGAGUUCCAAGCUAGAACCUUUUGUGUUAGUUGUCAGAAAGAAUUAGUUGUCUGAAACAAAUUUUUUUUUUAUAAAUUUUUUGUACAGGAAUGUUUGUCUGAAAGAAUUGUAUAUUUAUAUGUUGCUUUUUAGGUUUCAGGAAGUUCUCCAAAGUUGAAAGCCAUAGAGAUUGCAGCUGCUUUCUCUUCCUUAUCCUUUGGAGUAGGAUACUUUGGAAGCUCUAUGGAGCGGCCCAAGGUAAUUAUCUGAGUCUGUUUGAUCUUUUUAUUGCUAUCUUUUUCUUCUAUUUGUUAUAAAUAUUUUGGGCCUUGUUGAUCUUUCAGGACUUCAAAGAUCUCAUUUUGUGAUUAUUCUUGUAGAGUGCUGCUAAACAAAUCCUAAAAUUAACUGAGUACACCCUAUUAUAAAAGUAUAUAUUGAAUUACUGAUUUACCCUAAUAUAAAAUGACCAAAAAGGAUAUAUGGAAUUGUGAAACAAAUAUAAUUUUAAUAAGUACACCAUACUAACCAUAUUCAACCCUAAUCAAGAGAUUGCUUGUCCUAUUGUGUUUUUAAUGAAAGAUGUGGUGAUUGCAAGAAAUUGGAAUUGCAAAAAAGUGUCAACAGUUUUAGUAGAAGCAUAAAUCCAUAUGAAAAGUCAAAGAUUUAUAAACAUUAUUAAAAAAAUCAAGCUGAAAAUCAACUAUAAAAUAAUGCUACAAGUAUUAGGGUGUAUCAUAGGUUUUUUUGAUAGUUUUAUAGGGUGUACUUAGUUAAUUUUACAUUUUAAUUAAAAUAUUAGGGUGUACUUAGAUCAUAGGAUGUACUCAGUUAAUUUUAGGGUUCGUUUAGCAGUACUCUUCUUGUAUUGUUUAUGUUUCACAUCAAAUUCUAUUUAGAGGCAUCGCACCAAUUGUUUCUGUUUGUUCCAGUGAAUGUGUAUGGUAAUGAAAGUCCGGGUGAUUAUAUUGUUAUUUGGCAACUUUAAAACUAAAUGCUUCAUCUUCUGCCUCGUACUGUCAAUAUCUAUUUGAUUUCUAACAAGAAUGUUGAAUCUGUAGUGAAUUUGUGGACUAAAUUGUUCCACCUUUCAAGUUUCAAUUCUUAGGACUACAAAAUUGCAAAAAAAAAAAAAAAAAAAAACUGGAGUGGACCAUUUCAAAGCGCGAAUUGAUUGCAAUCUUGUUUGUUUAAUAUUCUGGAUUUGGCUGCUUAUGCUUUGACGUAGAAGAUCAUGUCUGUCAAUUGGCUACUCUUCUCCUUGUCGAAGUACAUCUGGAUGUGUUAAAUUAAGUGUGCUUCUGAUCUGUUAGCUGUUGUUGCUGGUACUGGAGUAAUUGGUGAAGCAAUCUGGCAGAUCUCCUCAUAGCAGACAUCUCCAACCAGCCGAUAACCUCGAGGGCACUUUUCAUCCUGUCAAAAAAUACACACAUCAUGAAUGAGAUACAAUCAUCAUGGCAUGACCAAAUAAUCAAAUUUCAUAUUUCAGGAACGAUAUUCCAAAUGUAUCUGAUAACCUAGUCAGUGCAUUUCUGUUAACAAAGCAUGAGGGAAAUCAGCCCAAAACAUUAGGGACUGACCUUAAGAUAUGAUGAAUUUCCUAAGCAUCAAAUUGAAAGGCAACAUCAACAUUGCAUGACCAAAUCAUCAAAAUUUUUUAACAAUGAUAUUUCAACAUAUCUACUAACAAAAUCUAUGCUUCAUUUCCUAUUCACAAAUAUAUCUGAGUCUGACAACCAAAUCAUCAUCAUCAUGAGAGAGAGAGAGAGAGAGAGAGAGAGAGAGAGAGAGAGAGAGAGAUUAUGAUAUCGCCUUGUCUUGUGAUCUCCUCAGGAUUCUUGGUUCAAGAAUGGACUAUACUGUUGGAAGCAUCUUCCCUUUACCAACAUUCAGAAAUCGGCUUGUCUUGUGAUCUCAGGAUUCUUGGUUCAAGAAUGGACUAUCCUGUUUGUAGUAUCUUCCCCCUACCAACAUUCAAAAAUUAAGUUUAAUUCAUGAAGUAGGAUACCAAACGGGCCCUAAGUAACUUAUUACUGAGGUAAACGAAAAUCACCUGCAGCAAUAAAGCAGCUGGCAUCCCAACAAGCAGGCAUAAUCCUUAAUAGUUUUUCGUAGUUGAGUUGAGUACUAUCACGCAUGUGUGACGAACAAACUAAGUAACUACCUUGCAAAGCAACCCACCCCCAAAUCAUGCUGCCUGUGUGAACAAACAAACUUUGUACAACCAGCUUGAAUUGCCUCGACACGACGCAGCCACUACUUUGACUCUUUCUCGCUGGUAACGUACACAUGAAAACUAUUAGAUUGUUUAGUCAUAAAUCAUGGGAGAACUACCGUAAUUCUAAUAAUUUUGCACAUUCAUAUACAUUACAUGGUCAUGAAAGUGAUACAGAUCUCUGCAUGCAUACAUCUAGCAUGACAAAUGGCAAGACAUCAUAAUGAUCCAUAGAUCAUCUUUUAGUGACUAUUGCAAGAUAUGCCUUCAAAACAUUAGAAUAACUUGUUAUUUAUGUUCUUCUCAUUGUAACAUAAUUUCACAAAAGGGAAAGCAAAAUUCAAAUUUACAAGCAUACACAAUGCUAAAAUAUGAAUAUGGUUUGAAUGUAUAGAAAUUUAGUUAUAUACCCAAUCUUAGACAUGGUUUUAUAAAGAAACCCUACACCGUUUAAAAACUAUAAACACACCCAAAAACAAUUCAAAAAUUGACAGCUAUCAAUUUUUUUUAAUUUAAUAGUUGUUUUUUAGUUUAUUUGUAUGUGUUAAAUACCUAUAUUGUCCUUGUACUAUGGAUUUAAGAUAGGAAAAUCAGAUCUGCCAUAAAACCAAAUAUUUCCAUGUCUGCCAAAAAACCAAAUCUGCCAAAAAAACCAAAUCUGCCAAAAAAUCAAAUCAGAUUUAUUUUCUCCUUUCUCGCUGGUGUUUUCUCUGGUGUUGGAGCAAGAGGAGCUUCCAUUGAAGCUCAGUCUCAGGUCCAACUAUAUUAUUCAUCUUUAAUCUACAAUUUUCAAUAUUUCACCUUCAAUUUCUUGUUCUAAAAUCGUGCUUCUAUUGAUUUUUUCUUUUUUUCGGAUUGUUCAAGACCUUGAACAAACCUCGAUCAGAUGCUUUUAGCUCUACUCCUCAUCUUCGAGCUCUACUCCUCUUUCGCCACAUCGUUGUCGUUGUUAUCGUCGUCAUCGUCGUCGUCGUCGUCGUCGUUUGGUUUGUACUUGAGAUUUUUGAUCUUUUGCUUCAAUUAUGUGUUUCUCUUCGGAUUUUAGUUGAUUUUCGAAAUGUAUUUGAAGCUUUGAUGAUCGAUUCAACUUUUGUUACUAUUUCAGUUAUGAAUCUCAUUUUUGUUUAACAAUGUACUUCUGUGAUAGGGUAUUAACAAUGUACUUCUAUGACAGAGUAUUAACAAUAUACUUCUAUGACAUAAUAGUAUUAACAAUCUGGGCUCAGCUUGUUUUGAGUUGGUUUGGUUUGUUCUUUCUUCAUCUUUUCUUUGGUGGACAUGUAUUAGAAAUAGCAACAUGAUAAACAUUAAUCAACAUGACAGUAAACUAGCAGUGUUAUUACCCUAGACUAGAACAUUACAGGGGUAAACAUGCAUUAGAAAUAUGAUGUCAUAGGAAAUAGCAGUGUUAUUACCCUAGACUAGAACAUUACAGGGGUAGAUAUGCAUUAGAAAUAGAAUAUCAUAGGAAACGAGCAGUGUUAUUACCCUAGACUGGAACAUUACAAGAGUAAACAUGCAUUAGAGAUAGGAUGUCAUAUGAAACUAGUAUUGUUAUUACCCUAAACUAGAACAUUACAACCAUUAAUCAGCAUGACAAUAAACUAGCAAUGUUAUUACCCUAGAUUGGAACAUCAGCCAUUAAUCAACAUGACAAUAAAAUAGCAAUGUUAUUACCUUAGACUGAAACAUUACAUGGGCAGACAUGCAUUAGAAAUAGGAUAUCAUAGGAAACUAGCAGUGUUAUUACCCUACACUGGAACAGUACAGGGAUAAACAUGCAUUAGAAAUAGGAUGUUAUAGGAAAUUAGCAGUGUUAUUACUCUACACUGGAACAUUAUAGUCAUUAAUCAACAUGACAUAGCAGUGUUAUUACCCUAAACUGGAACAUUACAACAAUUAAUCAACAUGACAAUAAAGGUGUAGAACAUUACAAUGAUUAAUUAACAUGACACGUUAAUGAAACUACGGUUUUCAAGACCUUUUGUUUGUAAUGAAUUGUUUGAGUUUUUUUAUAAAAUUGGGCUGGGCUUGUUUUGGGUGCUAUUUAAGUUUUUUGUGUUGGUCUUCUUUUUUAAAUUGAUCAAAGGCAGUCAUGUAAUUUAUAAGAACUUAAACACUAAUUUUUUAUGUAGUAAAUGAGUUUUGGGUGUGUUUCUAAAGUGCAAUCCAUGUGAGAUUUUUUAUAAUUUCAGCCCUUAUUUUGGGUAUAUUAGUGAAGCUCCCUUGAAUGUAUUAGGUUUAAUUUAUUCUUCUCCAUAAGGAGGUAUUAAGAGUUUACAUAUGGGCUUUAUAAGGAAUUAGAUACAGUAAAGAAAUAUGAAAGUAUCUCCUAAUUGUACAAUGAUUUAUCAAUUAUAUAAAAAAAUAGGAAAGUAAAUCCCUUAAUUAAUCAAGGAAAUAAAUCUCCUUGAUUAAUUAGGAGACUCACGUCAACACUCUUCCUCAAGUUGGUGCAUAUAUGUUACCAAUGCCCAACUUGGUAAGUGAGUCAUGAAAUACUCUGCUAAAUGUAACACCCUGACUCCAAAUUUAAUUUCUAUUUUAAAUUAUUUAAGUGAAUUUACGAAUUUACCCUUAGGGUAGGGGUAAAUUGGUCAUUUUCUUGUCCGAAAAGUGUUUGGGGCAGUGACUGGAAUUUUUAGGUAGGUGGUACUGAGACGAAUUUGUAGACACGCGGUAGGCUUGAAUCGGAGUUGUAACGAAAAAGUUACGGGCAAAACACUAUUAGUGGCAAAACUGUAAAUAUUUCAAAAAGGGUUAGAGUAAAAAUCAGAUUUUUCCAGUUUUACCUCACUCUCUCUCUUUCUCCCCAUUCUCUCUCUCUCCCGCGUCGUCCCUCCUCCUCCUUCGACUGCAAAACGCACGGCCACCGUCACAGGCCACGGCCAGCCUCAAGACCGGACCCAAAACAUCCGGCCAGAUCUCGCCGACGUUCCCCGACCCACCUCCAGCCGUCAGCUGCAGCCACGUUGUCGGAAAAUACGAAUUUCAGGCCGGUUUUCGUCUGAAAUUCCAGUCACUCGUUCUCUCUCCUCCGACCACUAUUUCAGACGGGUGAGGUAUGGUUUCUCAUCCAUUUUUCAAGUCCUAGCUGACUGUUGUAUAAGUUUGGACCGAUUCGUUGUCUAGGAAAUCGAUUAAAAAAUCUAGGUUUUGGCCGGAUUUCAAAAUGAAAUUCCGGCCAGUUGCCGCCCGAAUUGGACCUUCCCGUAAUUGAAGGAAGUGAUCCUGACCCCGAGUAGGAGCUAGGGUAGGAAUGGUGAGCUCGAGUGUGGAGUUUUUUCGUUCCCGGGAUUACUCUACACACCCACGAGCUGCCGGCGAGUGUGGCGGCACAUGGGCGAGGCUGGUGAGGGUGUAAAUUAACCCGAUGAGAUCCUUAGGUUGUCACGAGCACGUAGGAUUUUACGGAUCUCAAUUCGGACAUCGUUUGACUAUCGAACGGAUUUUCGCAUAUUGUGCGUUAUCCGGGUUCGAUAGGUUCUGACCAUUGGAUCGUUUCCUAAUUAAAAUAUGUUGUUCUAGGUAUUCCUAGGAACGUAUAGAAAUUCACGGAUCGUGAAUCGGAACCCCGGAUGUUCCGAUUCAAUAACUUUAAGUUUGCGUUUUAUAAUAACAGUCCAAUUGUCCGAUUGUAAGCGAUCUAACCGUCCGUUUCGAACUACACUUGCGAUACGGGUAUCUUAGACCUUGUGAAACCUUUAGGGACUUUCGGAUUGUAAAACGGAGGUCGUGGGUCCCGUGGGCCCGGUUGACCCAAAUUGGGAAGUUUGACCGCUGGUUGACCGAGUGUCUCCCGAAGUUGUUCCAUCGUCCAAAUCGGGUAGUUGGACCUUAGAACGUCUCGUUCCUAGUACACUUACUAGAAACCUGGGAAAUUAGAAUAUUUAAUUCAAAGUACUUAUUCGAAACGCUUUGUAUUAAUCUCGUAUACGUAUUCUGAAUUAGGUACUCCGACCACGCAUACGCAGCAGGCGGGACCCUCUCAGGGUCAAGCAGCGUGGGACUACUUGUGAGUGGACUUUGUUUUCAAAUCUUAUGCAUGGUUUUAUUGAUGAAAGAUUUGUGCAUAAUGUUUUUAAUGAUUUAUUGAAUAUAUUAUAUUCAUGAGUUGAAUUUGAUGUUUGUAUAGUGCUUUGGCAUAGUUGGGUAUUGAAAGUAUAUUUUAUAUGGAUUUUGGGAAAUAUUAUGCAUGAUAUUUUAAAUGGUAUUUUGAAUAUAUUAUUUAUGAAAUUGUUGAAAGUGAUAUUUUUAUGAGGUAUUGGAAAUAUAUUUUGGAUUUUGACAUAUUUGAGUAUCUUGAGUACGAAUAUUUGGAUUUUGAGAAUUUCUAUAUAUAUUUGGCUAUGUGUGAGGUACUUGGGUUGUUGAGAUGAGAUUGUGGAAAGUGGUGAGUAUAGAAUGUCAGUUUGGAGUGCUAUAAGCACUACCCUAUAUACCUCCCUGGAUGUGGAACUUGGAUACGGAGACUUGAGAUACUUGGAAUUGUCGGAACUCGGGGCAUCCUUGACGGGAUGUUGCUGUAGACCCUUGAUUGGGUAGUCUGCGCGCGUAGGACUGAUGACAGACGUACGGGUUUUGAGGUUAUCGACGGUACGUGCUGGCUGAGAGUUGGUCCCCCGGACGGCUCGUUCCCUAGUCACAUGGUGGAUUAAGGACUCUUCAUGAGGACUCAGCCAGGAUGACUAGUCAAACAAUCCCCCGGUUGGAUUGUUUUCCCGGUACUGUUCACCCGUUUUCGUGUUUACUCCUUAGGUGGAAGGGCUAAGUUCCCCACUGGCUUGGAGACCAUUUGUUGGUCGACAAGUCAGCUUUCUUUGGUGUGUGAGCGUGUCACUGCUAGCAAUGUAAAUUCUAGCAGACUUCUUUUAGAGUGGAUAACUUGCGCCCCAAGUUACUGACUUCUAAAACAGAUGAUUGUGAAUUUAGGUGAGGAAUAUCUCCCAAGUAAGUUCUUUUCUUGCCUCAGACUGGUAAGGACUUUCAUAAUUUAUCUCAGUAUCAAACGGCUGUUCUGGCCAGAAAAAUUUGAUAGAAGUUGGGCUUUUUUAGGCAGAACUGCCUUUUACAAAACAAUAAAUAUGCAUAUCGACGCUAGGAAGGUUAAAAGACGGCCGGAACUCCGUUUCUGCUUGGAUGGAAGGCUCUGGCUUGGGCUGGACUGGACACAUCUGGGUCGGUCCGUACUGCUUCGUGCCUUCAAAUGCUAGGUUGAGCUAUAAAUCGAUACCAAAGUUCGAUUUUGGCAGAGCUUUAUGUUUACUUCACGCUUCGUGAGGCCUUUUAGUGGGUAGAACUGCAGCUUCUUCAGUUUGAAGAGGCAGAAGUGGCUGUUCUCGAGGGCUUGGUGGGCUAGGGAUUGCACUACGAGUGUUGUUCUGCUUGAGCAGGACUUUUUCAUAAGUUCGCUGAGGUCUCCACGUUUGUGAAGAUUCAAAUUCUGCUUGCCUUGGCUUUUUGCUGAACCAAAUUUGUAACGAGAGAGAUCUCGUUUUCAGAAGACUUAUUUUCUAAGUCUGAACUUUGGAAUUCUGAUCUAAAGCUGGUUUCUCUUGGAAUCCAAGUGAGCUUUUGGUUGUUUUCUUGUUGUUUAUUUUUUUUGAUUGAUGAAUUGAGUGUCCUUUCCUUCCUUGCCUACUUUUGUUUUUAUAAGAGACCCUCUUGGGGAGGUGGUUUCAAAUUUAAAUAAUGGGCGGUAAAAUGAUCUCCUAUAAUAUAAAGUAAAAAAGGAUUUUAUCAAUCAUGGCAGAUAAGCUCUCCGUACAGCCUAUUAAAGCAGUCCCUUCCCUGGUGUCCUACUCCCAGCUUUCUAUUUCCAUCAACCCCACAGUCCGUGUGGGCUUUUUUGGCAGUUGGUUUUUCUUUCGUAUUUUCUGAACAGCUCCCCGUUUCCCGUUCUAAUUUAGAAAGCGUGACCCGUGAAUUCCUUGGAAGAUGGUGUAUUGCUUUUUGGAGUAGAAUCUCCGAUCACAGAUGGGUUUUGAUCUUCUGCUGGCAGUGUUUCAGAGAUGUCCCUCUCAUAUUUUAACUUAGUUGAAAUUGCUGACUUUUCAAAGCUGAGGCAAUCAGGUGGGUGUGUUUUUAAUUCCCUUGGGUUUAAAACCAACAAAAUUUAUGGGCUGAUCCUUGAAGCCCAAGUGAUAGUUUCCACGUUGAUCUUUCUUGGGCCCGGUUUUUUUUGUUCUUGACAUCCUGGCCUGAAGCCCAACCUGUCUGGAUCCUAAUUUUGUUACCCUUAAGUUUUUGGGCUGGGCAUUUAAUUUCACCAUGGGCCUGUCUUUUGAACUUUGGCGUGCCAAAUUUAGGCCCAAACAGGUACAACUAGGUGAUGGUCAUAUUUAUAUUAUAUAUAUAUCUCUUAUAUUAUAUAUUUAUAUUUAUUCAUUCAUUCUUGUUUCUCGGUGUGAAUACUUCCUUGCCGAUCGUGCCAAUGGGUACGCUUUCGAGAGUUUGGUUGUGGGAUUUAUAAGUUUUUGGAUGGUAGGUUUUGUAAAGCGUUCUUUAUGGAUUUCGGACUUGGCAUCUGGUAUUGAUUUGUUUUGAUAUAUAUUAUAUAUAUAUAUAUAUAUAUAUACUUGAGUAUGACGGUUUUGAGAUGCAUGAGAUUUCUUGCAUGGUUUUCUAAACGGUGGGGUUAUAUUACGUUGGUUUACACUGAACUGAAUUUAUUUUUGUCCACUCACAAUUUUCUGUUUUGCGCCCCCCAGCCAGUAGUUGACUGAGCUUCGCAACAAAGCCGGAUCGUGCGCUUCCGAGCCUUGAGUCAUCGUAGGACUCUUUCUUCAUGUUUUUCCCUUUGAACUCUGUUUUGUUGAAAUUGAAGUUCUUAGACAUGCUCUGUUAUCACCCCUGUUAGGGUUUGAAUUUUGAGGCCAGAGGCCAUUUUGUUGUAAACUGUUUAUUCGCUUUAAAGAAUGCUGCUGGUUGGGAUUAUUCUGUAUUUUUUUUUGCAGGUUGAAUUUUGUUGAUUUGUUCAAUUCACAGGGGAGACUCUGCCAAAAUUUUGGUAGAGAGUCUCGAUUUUUAGUAAGUGGGCCCGGCAUCGGGAAGAUGUUGGAACAAAGACGGGAUUCGCCCUGGUUUUGGGGAAAUUUCGAGGAGGGUCCUGUCAUACAAACAGCUUUUGUUAAGAUAUCUGCCAGUUGAUCUUCUGAUUUUACGAAUGGUAGAUGGAUGAUCUUCUUCUCAAUCUUGUCUUUGAUAAAAUAUCUAUCCACUUCAACAUGUUUGGUUCGAUCAUGUUGAUCUGGAUUAUGGGCAAUGUCAAUGGUUGAUUUGUUAUCGCAAUGUAAUUUCAUUGGCUUUCCUAGCUUGAAACCCAAUUCUUUCAAUAGUCUUCUGAUCCACAAUAGUUCACAAACUCCGUUAGCCAUUCUUCAAUACUCUGCUUCUGCACUAGACUGAGAAACCACAUUUUAUUUUUUACUCUACCAAGUGACUAGAUUACCUCCUACGAAGGUAAAGUAACAUGAAGUAGAGCGUCUGUCAGUAAUGGAGCCAGCCCAAUCAGCAUCUGUAUAUUCAACAACUUCGAGAUCUCUAUUUUUUUUAGAACAUUAAUAAUUACUGACUUUAAGUAUCUUAAGAUCCGAUCAACUGCAUUCCUAUGGGACACACUGGGUGAAUGCAUAAACUAACUAACCAUACUCACAGCAUAUGCAAUAUCUAGUCUUAGAGGACGUAUGAAAAGUAGAACAUUUGGUGGUGGUGAUAGAAGCAGGAGUCCGAGUAGCUGGGUCAAUAGGAGUGACUGCAUGCUUCUGUGAGUCUGCAAUAAGAUGGAGAAUCGUAGGGGUUCCUGACAUCGUAUCGGAAGUAAGAUAUGAUAUGAGAAUGUGAGGAAUUUGAUGUAGGAAUUGGAUUUAAGAGGUAUGUGUAUAAGAUUUGAGGGUAUGUGUUUAGGGAUAUGGAUAAGAGGAUUUGAAUAUGAUAAAUUUGAGAUAAGGGUUUAGAGGCAAAACAACUUCUCUCCACUCCCCCUCUCUCCCUGAAGAAAAGGGGUCGUCAGAGUAAAGAAAUAUGCAGUAUCUUCAUGGGAAUACGUCAAGGUAAUGGGGAUAUGUCAGUAAACAUAUCAUUUUCACUCCCCCUCCCCCCUUGAAAAGGAGGGGAGGAGAGCACUUAAAUUUCAAGAAGAACGCAAGCACAGGUCACAAGAGAACCUGGCUCUGAUACGAUGCUAAAGUAUGAAUAUGGUUUGAAUGUAUUAGGUUUAAUUUAUUCUUCUUCAUAAUGAGGUAUAUAUAAGAGUUUACAUAUGGGCUUUAUAAGGAAUUAGAUACAGUAAAGAAUUAGGAAAGUAUCUCAUAAUUAUACAAUAAUUUAUCAAUUAUAUAAAAAAUAAGAAAGUAAAUUACUUAAUUAAUCAAGGAAAUAAAUCUCCUUAAUUAAGUAGGAGACUCACGUCAACACAUAAGGCAGAUGUAGAGAUGAAGUUGAGCAUUUCUGUACUUCGAAUGAAUUAAUCCCAACAGAAUCACAAGCUUUUUUCUUGUUGCGCAAAUUGUAAUUUGUAUGUGCCACUUUCAUUAUAUCGUGACCACACAAUCAUGGUUGCCGUGUAGCCCAUGGAAAUCAACUCUGCAGUCUGCACUGGCAAUUGGUAUAAUUCAAUUUGUGGAAAUUGCUACAACCUCACAGGUCAACUGUAUCUGAAUACAUUAUAAAUUAAUAUAAUAAUGAUAAUAAUAAUAAUGUUAGGCUCAUCAGAAUAUCUUUGCUCAUUACAUUAUAUGUCCUCACAAAAAUAAAAUAAAAUAAUCAAAUCGGAAAUCGUUUAACCGUUUGAUUAUUAUCAUAAUAUUUCAAUUACCCGUAGGAAAUAUCUGUAAACACGAAUUUCUUGCGACAAAUGAGACAAGAACACGUGUAUAAAAUAAUAUUUGUAUUAAUGAAAUUUAAUGUUCCAAUCUCUGUAUUAAAUCCUCUGAUUCGAUCUCCAAAGUGUUUAAAGAAAAUUUGUGUUUGAUACAAGGGUCGUAGAGACUUGAUCUUGAUCAAACGGGUAGCACAAGGCUUGUUUGGUGUUAGGAUUUUUCUAGGGUAGAGGAACCGGCACGUAUUUGUUGUGCUUUAUGGCUCUUCCAAAGUGAGGUGAAUAAUGCAGAAAUUUUUUUGUUUCUUCUGAGUGCUUGGUUUGUCUCCGCCCCUGUCUUUCUUCUUGAGACCUCCUAUUUAUAGGUCCCUGCAGGAUGCUUGACCUAAAUAGCUUUCCUUCUAUAGGACCCUGUUUUGUGGGAUUUUGAUUUGAUUUAAAAUCAAUUCCGAUAAUUUGGCAAUUUAACCAAAUUAUCUUCGAUUGAUUGACUUGAUUAAUAUUUGAUUUAAAUCAAAGUCAAUCACAGAAAAUUCUUUCCUUUAAUUUUGUUUUCACUUUAAACCAUUUGAUGCACUCCGUCGGAUGUCAACACAUGUCACUUUUGAUAACUAAUCCGAUUUUGAUGAGUCGUACACCACAUGGGCGAAUUAUGAAACCUACAAUUUAAUCCACCAAACCCUAAUUAAUUUCUUACUUAGUGGAAUUUAAUUCACCAAAAUUUCAUUGUCUACAAAUUGCCUCCACUUCACAAUGCACUGUAGAUGUGUGUUUGCCACAUAUCUAUAGUGUGACUUGAAGUCCCUCUUGAUGGCGAAUGCAUUUUGUUCACAGGUAAAUUACAAGAGUUGAUCUUAAUUUGAUGAAGCCACUCUUGUUGGCGAUCACCUUUCUAUUGUUGCAAUGACCUUUCUUGUACAAUUUUUUUAUUUUUUUAUUUUUUUUAUUUUUAUUUAUUUUUUAUUUUUAUUUUCACUUGGUGGUAUCAACUCUUGGCCGAUAAUCAUUUGCAUGAGUGCAUUAAACAUGGGCUUUGGCACAACCAGAUCCUGGACCAUCGGAACUCCAGAUCAUAUAGUUUCAUAUGAUAAAGAAAUCCUUGUAUUUUGAAGAGGCCUCCAACUAAAUCAACAAUCUUGCGUGGUGGUGAAGAAAAUUCCAUAUUACAUAAGCACAAUUGAUGGCUUGAUCAUGUAUCAUCACAUAAUUUCCUUGAAUGCGUUGGAAAUUAAAGGGAAAACAUUUCGUGCUCAAUUUUGUCUUGCUACUUUCGUGGCAAAUAAACAUGGUCUCGAUCAAAAGGGAUUAUGAUCUUGAAUGCUCUAAAACAAAAAUGGAAAGAAUAUGCCCGUCCUGAUUUUUUAUUAAAAUAUUUUGGGACCCAAACAAGGGAAUUCCCUAUGCAUCUUUUGCUUGGUUUCUGCACCAAAGCUUCCACUUAUCUUUUUCAAUACGUCGGCAGCAUCCCUUGGUAACUAAUAAUCACAUGGUUGGUGGUGUUUCUCUUGCUUGAAGUUGUGUGCCUUCUUAGCCUUGAGCCCGUGCUCACCCAACCUCACUGAGCCAAUCGCCAUGUUCAGAUCUUUUCCUUUGUUACUUGGUCGAUGCUUAAUGAACUCGUCUUGGCACGAUGAUGUUGAUAAGUUGUUGCUCCUAUACUCCAUUGAAGUGGGGUCAAUGUUUUCUUACAUGAAGGAAUAUGCCACACAUGUAACUCAUGACAAGGAGGCCAUAAAGCAAUCAGCCAGAAACUUUUUAUUAUUUAUUAUUUAUUAUUUUUCUUCUUUUUUUUUGGCUAGGCACAUGUUGCUAAAAGGGCCAAACCUAGAGUUGCAAUUGAGGAUUUGAUCGCAGCUAGAUUUUUGAAGCGCAAACCGAGAUGAUUAAACUAUCAAUACCAUGAUGCCAGAGACUUCUCAAAAGGUGGAGUUCAUCUUGUUGGAUAUGUGAGGCGUUACAUGCAUCAUGUGGCCCAAGUGAAGGUCUGUUGAGGUUUGCAUCCACCAGUCGACGACGAAAGAAAAACGUAGAGGUCCUAACUGCUUGGGUUUGAACCAUUUCUUUGAUUUGGUGAUAACCCACUCAAGUGCUUAGGCUUGAUCUUGUUGGAGAACGAGUGAAGAAUGUAGACGUCCUAUACCGCUUGGGUUUGAUCCAUCUCUCCGAUUUGGUGAUAACCUACUCAAGCGCUUAGGCUUCACGUAUUGGAGGACGAGUGAAGAACGUAGACGUCCUAUACCGCUUGGGUUUGAUCCAUCUCUCUGAUUUGGUGAUAACCCACUCAAGGGCUUAGGCUUUACGUAUUAGAGGAUGAGUGAAGAACAUAGACGUCCUAUACCGCUUGGGUUUGAUUCCUCUCUCCGAUUUGGUGAUAACCCACUCAAGUGCUUAGACUUUAUAUAUUGGAGUAUGAGUGAAGAACGUUGACGUCCUAUACCGCUUAAGUUUGAUCAAUCUCUCCAAUUUGGUGAUAACCCACUCAAGCGCUUAGGCUUUACGUAUUGGAGGACGCCCAACUUGAUCGAGCACAAAUACUUUCCCAAAGAGACUUCCUUUUCCUUAUUUAUUUAUUUAUUCAAGAUUCACCAAAGAAAUGAUCCAUAGUGAAGCUUUUGGAGUGGAUAGGUCAUGGUAAAUUACAAAUUGCACAAAACAAGGCAAGAUAUUCAUUUGACGAAGGCCAAGGUAGUGAAUGGUGUAAGAAUAACAAGGGUGAACAAGGAGUACCAGCUUGAUGUUGAACGAAAGAAGUUAAUGUAGCCCUGACGGAGCGAAUUGGAAGUCAAAUAGUGCCAAACUAAUGAGAAACUCCAAAUUUAUUUUAUCAUGUGACUGAACUCAAAGUGGUCUUAUGAGCUGCCUACGUACCCUUAUAGGAAAAAAAGAGAUCAAGUCACGACGUAGUUCAAUGUUUUUCUUGGUUUUUUGGUUUUUUUUUCUUUUUUUUUUUUAGUUUGCAGUUUUAGCUCAUGCAAGCGAGGGAGCAUUUGGUGCCUUGUGCAUUUUUGGCUCUUGCAGGCGAAUGAGCGUUUUGGUGUCUUGUGCAGUUUAGGCUCGUGCAGGCGAACAAAUGAGCGUUUGGUGCCUUAUGCAAUUUCGGCUCGUGUAGGCAAAUGAGCAUUUGGUGCCUUGUGCAGUUUAGGCUCAUGUAGGCGAACGAAUGAGCAUUUGGUGCCUUAUGCAGGCGAAUGAGCGUUUGGUGCCUUGUGUAGUUUAGGCUCGUGCAAGUGAACGAAUGAGCUUUUGGUGCCUUGUGUAGUUUCUGCUCAAACAUGCGAAUGAGCGUUUGGUGCCUUGUACAGUUUAGGCUCGUGUAGGCGAACGAAUGAGCGUUUGGUGCUUUGUGCAAUUUAGGCUCGUGCAGGCAAACAAAGCAGCAUUUGGUGCCUUGUGCAGUUUCGGCUCGUGCAGGCGAAUGAGCAUUUGGUGCCUUGUGCAAUUUAGGGUCGUGCAGGCGAACGAAGGAGCGUUUAGUGCCUUGUUCAGUUUUGGCUUAUGCAGGCGAAUGAGCAUUUGGUGCCUUAUGCAGUUUAAGCUCGUGCAGGUGAAUGAAUGAGCGUUUGGUGCCUCGUGUAGUUUCGGGUUGUGCAGACGAAGGAGCAUUUGGUUGAAUUUGUGUCAAGCUAAGUGAGAAGUGUCCUCCUUAUGUUUUUUUUUUCACCUUGAGAGGUGCUCGACACAUUAUUCUUGAAGAAUCCUUUGGGGAAGAAAUCAUGUAGCAUGAUGGGGCUAAGUGACCUUUGUUUCAAAAGUUCAUCUUUUGAAACCAUUUUGUUCAUAUUUGACAAUUUAUUUCCUCUAUGCCUUUUAGGUGGUUCAGAAGAACUUCUUUUGUUUACAAAUUUUUUUUACCGAGCAGUUCUUGGCAAAGAUGCAUUCUUCUUAUGUAACUUCUUCUGAGUGACCAAUGUUCAUCCUUCAUUAUCGUCAUCGGAUGAAUCGACACUACUUCGACUUAACACCCCAACACACUCAUACAGAUUGAGUUGAUGGGUUUCAGAGAAUGCCCCUAGUGGUUGAAGUGAGGGCAAAGGUGCCGAAUCAGAGAAGACAAAUGAGAUCGUAGCAUGGUUUGACUCUACCAACUUGUCAAGAUCUAUUUCGAUUCUUCCUUGUUGUGCCAACUUCAUGAUGAGAUCUUUCAACACGAAACACUUUUCCACUGGGUGACAAAUGACACGAUGGUGCACGCAGUAUUUUGGUGGUUAAUAUGAUUCAUCUCUUUAGAGCGUUUGCACUCGGGUAACUCAAUCACCUUCUUCUCGAGUAAGUCUUCCAGCAUGCCUUCUACGUCAAAGUCUAGAAAAAAGAUACUUCCUCUCCUUCAUUUCUUUUAGGAUGUGUCAUCGUGGUUCUUGAUCUUGAGUUGACUCGGCCUUCCUCUCAUCUUUCUUGCCUAAAGCGGAAACCUUCAUUGGAGCGGCACUGAUCGUCAUUGACUCCAAGAUGCGUGUCUUCAAAGAGUCUGCCCCAUUUCUCGAUGACUUCUCAUUUCAAUGAUCACUCACUAUUUCAUUUCUUCCAUCGUGACUAGUGUUACUUAGCUCUAUGUCAUGCGCACGAGUGGUCAAUUCUUCAAAGCUAUGGGGUUUGAUCCCUUGAAGAAUAUAAAGCAGACCCCAAUGCAUACCUUGAAUGCACAUCUCUACCACCGAUAACUCUGAGACUCGAUCUUUGCAGUUGAGGCUUAAUGAACUCCAACAAUUGAUGUAGUCAACAACAGGUUCAUUUUUUUGUUGCUUUGUGCUAGUGAGCUUUAGCAUGCUAACUGAGCGAUGAGUGCUAUAGAAGCGGUUGAGGAAUUCUCUCUCCAUUUAUUCCCAGCUAUCACUUGACUCUGGUUCUAAGUCAGUGUACCAAUUGAAUGUAGUGCCUCGGAGUGAGCGAACAAAUUGCUUCACGAGUAAUCGUCAUUAGUGCCAGCGUUGUUACACAUCUCGAUGAAGUGGGCAACAUGUUGUUUAGGGUUACCUUUUCCAUCAAACUGCAUGAACUUUGGAGGUUGAUAACCCAUUGGCAUUCGAAGGUUGUCUAACCUUUUGGUGUAAGGCUUGCAAUAAAUAAAUGUAUCUUGAUAAGGCCCACCAUAUUGAGCCCUGAUGGUUUUCACGAUCAUGUCCUGAGGUUGUUGGACCGACAAAGAACCCACCGAGACGAUGUCGCCUUUUCUAUGCAACUUCUCACCCAACUCUGUUUCAUGACCCAAUCCUUUCUCACUGGAUUCAGCUUCAUGAUGUGGUCCUUUCUUAUGCACGUCUUGACCAAGUUCCUUAUCCUAAUGUGCCUCCUACUUGUUAAUGAGAGAAGCAAUUUGCGCAUCUUUCUCUUCGACCGUCUUCUUCAGUUUCGUGACUGCUUCACUUAUAUGGGCCAGCUGUUCUUCAAUAGACAUCUUUCAUGUCACCAUGACCUGCAUAGCCAUAGAAUAAGACUCACAUAUGGACGCUGAGGGUUUCAUGACAAUCUUCUUUUGUUGGUUGUCAGACGGGGAUCCAUGGUAUGAGCAUGUGCUCGAGUCAGCGUCUAAAACAGGCGAGAGUGAACGUUCUCUUGAAUUAUUUGAACCCGAAGAACUCCUUUCUUCAUUCCGAGAGUUUAUCUCAUCCGCUCGGGGUGUAUUCUUCUUUGCCCCCAAGAAGGCCAAGUUGAUAGCCAGCUCAUGCCUUCGAUUCACAUCUUUCGCCUUAGCUUGAUCAAGUCGGUAUGGAAGUGACAUGUUGAGUUACGAAUAUAGCAUUGGCCUUACUCCUGGUGACGACCCCAGCAGAGUCUCCGCUUGAGAAGGAAGCGCUCACACUUUUGCCUCUCGUCGCGGGAGCGAUUUGAAUAUUCUUGGAAGCCAUCGUUUUCGAUUUGUUGAGUGAUUUUGGAAUUGGAGAAAGAGAUGAGAGGCAUACAUGGUCCCACUAGGCGUGCCAAAUUUGUAAACACGAAUUUUCUGCGACAAAUGAGACAAGAACACAUGUACAAAAUAAUAUUUGUAUUAAUGAAAUUUAGGGUUACAAUCUCUGUAUUAAAUCCUCUUAUUCAAUCUCCAAAGUGUUUAAAGAAAAUUUGUGUUUAAUACAAGGGUCGUAGAGACUUGAUCUUGAUCAAACAGGUAGCACAAGGCUUGUUUGGUGUUUGAAUUUUUCUAGGGUAGAGGAAUCGGCAUGUAUUUGUUGUGCUUUGUAGCUCUUCCAAAGUGAGGAACCGGUGUUUGAAUUUUGUUUCUUACUUAGUGGAAUUUAAUUCACCAAAAUUUCAUUAUCUACAAUAUCAUAUUUGAUUUGUCCCUUUAACUAUUUAUAAACUAUUUGACGCUUUAAUUUUUGUUUCUUCUUAGUGCUUGGUUUGUCUCUGCCCCUGUCUUUCAUCUUGAGGCCUCCUAUUCAUCAAAUUAAAAUCAAUUCCGAUAAUUUGACAAUUUAACCAAAUUUUCUUCGAUUGAUUGACUUGAUUAAUAUUUGAUUUAAAUCAAAGUCAAUCACAUAAGAUUCUUUCCUUUAAUUUUGUCUUCACUUUAAUCCGUUUAAUGCACUCCGUCGGUUGUCAACACGUGUCACUUUUGACAACUAAUCCGAUUUUGAUGAGUCGUACGCCACAUGGGCGAAUUAUGGGGCCCACAAUUUAAUCCCCCAAACCCUAAUUAAUUUCUUACUUAGUGGAAUUUAAUUCACCAAAAUUUCAUUGUGUACAAUAUCAUAUUUGAUUUGUCCCUUUAACUAUUUAUAAACUAUCUGACGCUUUAAUAUUUUUUAAUAUUUUAUAAUAUAAGUGAUAGUCUAAAUCACAAGGAUGGGGAGAAUUUUCACACACACACUACCAAAGUAACAUGGACGUUCAAACCUGAGGCCACUAGUCUACAAAUCAAUGUCAUUUUUCUCUGGGUUAGACCCGAUUAGUAUGCUUUUUACAAUUUUCAAAUCCUGACGUUUAGUUUUCUUCAUAUUUUACUUGCAAUUUGUUUUGUGAAGUACUAAUUAUUACACGUAGCGAAUUAGUGAUCACUAAACAAUGAAUAAAAAAAUCAGAAUAAUUUAUGUUCUCCUUUUCUAUCAUUGGUAAUGGUAAACCAAGCAUAUGGGAACUAACAUCUGUCUCCAAAUGAACAUCCACAUGAGCAAAUUAUUUUUGUUGUAGGUAUCAAUCACAUGUAUAAAAGCUUCAAUCAAGAAGAAAAAGAAAAAGAACAUAAAGCUAUCUCGUCUUUUUUUAUAAAUUUUGUUAUCAGUGCAACAAUUACUUAUACUUUUGGAGAACCAACAAUUUUUUUUUUUUGUCGAGGAGACCAACAAUAUAAACUGAUACUUUGAAAAAUAAAAUUGUUAUAGACAGCUUGAGAAAAUCGGAAAGGGAUAGAAAAAGAAAAGUACAAAGAAGAUAGAAUGAAAGGUUCAAUUUCGACCACAUAAGCAACAAGACCUUCGACCAACAAAGAAAAAAGGAACAAGACCAAUAAUCGUAACGCGACAGCACAACAACAACACUAAAAAGGAUGUCAUGUCUCUUUGAAAGAAGUUUUGGUUAGGGAAAGGGAGGACCAUGUCGUGUUUCACAUGCUUGUCUUCCAUUUUUCGUUCCGAGAUAUUGCCAUGUACAAAUAAAACUCUUAUUAAAACUCCGAUUUUUCGUUUUGAAUUUGAGUGUUUUUUCAGAGAUAUGAUUUUUGAAAAAAUAUCUAUAAAAAUUAUUCGAAUAAUUAAAAUACAAUGUAAAAUUAUCUUCACAAAAAUAUUCAUCAAAUACACUUAUUUGAAUAAUCUCUCAAUUAAAGCUAUUUCUGAUAAAUCAAUUACAUAUACAUAGCUCAAAGUGUAUUAUUUUUUUCUAACAUAACAUGCACAACAUUUUGAAGUCAUCAAAGUGUAGGAUGAUCAUGAUCCUAUAGAGUCAUGAUUACCCCCACUUUUAUUGGUUGAAUUUCUGAAUCUUGGAUAACAUAUUGUGGGCCAUAGCCAUAGAUGAGCUGUGCUAGGGAGUGAGUAUCUGGGGGUGAAUAUACUCUUGCCGACACAACCCCAAGCUCCAACUGCCAUUCAAACGAGCUCCACCACCGGCCAUAAUAAAUUAUCUUAGUCAAGAAGAAAAGGAGGGAUUUGGUUCCCACCUCAACUUUUUAGGGUUUAUCUCCUUUUCCCUGAAAAUCAUCUUGUAUUAGUGUUUGUCCUGUUUCAAUUUCUCUCUCACCUCACACCUAUCCAACUAUGUUAAUUUGAUUGGAUAACGUGUCAGAUUUUAUGCAAAGAGGACCCAUUUAUCCAUAAGUAGUUGGGUCAGUUCACUCACCACACCUUUUUUUUUUUUUUUUUUUUAUAUAAUUUUUUUUUAAAUAUAAGCGAUAUUGAAGGAGUCGGAUUUUCUCACACUGAAAAUGUGUCGAGUUUCAAACCUGAAACUACUGAUCUGCAAGUCCCAUGUUCACCACUCACCCAUAACUUAACACAUCACACAUGCUUACAAAUCAUUUUUAUUUUUAUAGAGCUUGAAGUUUAUAAUAAAUUGGUUAAUUAACAUAGGUUUUCAGUAACAAAACAUAAGUUUUCGAUGAAAUUAUAAAUUUUAUAGCCACCUUGAUCACAAUUAUCACAAACUAUUACUUGAUCCAAGAGAAGUAGACGGCAAUCCGCAACAGUCAUUUAUCUGUGAAUUAUUUCUCACUACCAGAUGGCCCCAACCAGAGCAUUUCCUCCACUUAUUCUCUCUCUUACUCCAACAUGGAUUAAGGGGGGGCAGCAAAUUAGCAAUCUUGCCGGAAUGUUUUCCUACUGAUUAGUGUCUGAACGCUUAAUUUUAUCUAUUUUAAAUAUAUAUCUAUAUAUAUAUAUAUAAAAUAAAAGGUAGAGAAUGGUAAAAUAUUCAAAAUACCAAAAAAUAUCAUUGGUUAAUGUAAAUAUUAAGAAUUGAAAUUAUUAAUUAAAAAAAUUAAAAUUAAGAGAAAAAUCAGAAAGAAUCCUAUUUUUAUUACCCAUUAUCUUUUUAAUUCUAAAAUAAAUUUAAUUUUUUUUUAAAAAAAAAGCAUCUCACAGGCGCUGAAGCGCGUGUGAAGAGGCUAGUAUAAAAUAAUAAAAAAACCAAAUGACAAAGUUUAUGUUCAAUGAGAUGCUUGAAUGUUUAUUAAUAGACUAACCUCUUCACAUGCGCUUCUGCUCUUGCGAGAUCCUUUUUUUUAAAAUUAACAUUUAUUUUAGAAUUAAAAAAAUAAGGGCCUUUUAUCUGAUUUUUCUUUUAUUUUUAAUUUUUUUAAUAUGAAAAAGUAUGAAUUUACCAUAUUAUUCUCAUUUAAUUAAUAAUUUCAAUUCUUAAUGUUUACAUUAACCAAAAGUAUUUUCUGGUAUUUUAAUUGUUUUACCAUUCUCUAACUUUUACUAUAUAUAUAUAUAGAUUAUUUAUCAUGAAAACAAAAUAAAAUAACAUAUAUAAAAAUUAUUCCAUAUAGAAUUUAAUAUUCAACUAUUUCUUCUACAUGCCAAAAAUGUCGCGUUGAACUUAACAUCUAACAACUGCAAUGACCCGAACAAUAAAGGAAGCUACUGCUCUGGCCAUGUCUAUCUACCAAUGAGUUCAGUCCACGAAUUUCUUAAAUAAAACUAGAUUUGAAUUAUUUUGAUGGCAUUUUGUGACUCUCAUUCUGCAUUAUAGUAUAAUAAUAUAAUACGAUUUAACUCAUAUAAUAUGAAUACAAUUGUCUACUUUUUAUUAAAGAAAAUGUUAUCAUAAUACCCCACCUUAGAUGGGUAUCUACCCAUCACUUUACAUUUCAAUUUAUAGAGAGGACAGCAAAUCCUAACCGUUCACCAAAGCAUGGCACGUGGCAAAAUCAAGAUUAUCCAAUUUUAAGAUAUUUAUUAUUAGGAAAAAAUUUUAAAAAUAUCACUUGUACUUAUAUAUAAUUUCAAUUUGUCACUCAAAGAAAAUUUCUAAAGAGAUAUUAUUUUGAUUUAUCGAAAUUCCUAAAUUAGAAUAUGUGGCAUGUAAAACACACGCAGAAUUUUGGAUAGAGUUACAGUGCCAUACGACAAAUUAAGCAUUUUGAAAAAUUGAGAUGUGAGUUCUCUUAAAUAUUUGUUUUACGAUGAUGAAAUUGUAGAUGUGACAUUUAUAAGGUUUUCCCCUUCCUUAAAAAAUCAAACCACUUUUAACCUAAGGUUAUAUUUGAGCAUGCGACAGGAGAGAGUGAAGAGCCGAGGAAAAGAAGUUUCGCACCAGCGCAUUUAUAAAUACCCACCACCAUGCACCCAACUGUCUCACACCAUCAAAACCUCUUCUCAUAUUAAUCUUGCUCUCCAUCGUCCCGUUUCCGAUAUAAUACCCAAAAUACCCCGCCAUGUCUGAGGAGAAGCACCACCACGGCCUCUUCCACCACCACAAGGAUGAAGACAGACCCAUUGAAACCUCAGACUACCCUCAGUCUGGUGGUUACUCUGAUGAAGGACGUACAGGCAGCGGCUACGGUGGUGGUGGUGGCUACGGCGAUGGUGGUGGCGGCUACGGGGACAACACUGCUUAUUCUGGUGAAGGACGUCCCGGCAGCGGCUACGGUGGUGGUGGCGGCUAUGGAGAGAGCGCUGAUUACUCAGAUGGCGGCCGUUACAAGGAGACCGCUGCAUAUGGCACCACUGGCACCCAUGAAUCUGAAAUUGACUACAAGAAGGAGGAGAAGCACCACAAGCAUCUUGAGCACCUAAGCGAGGCCGGGGCUGCUGCUGCUGGUGUUUUUGCCCUGGUAUGGAUUUAACCACCUUUUAUAUAUGAAUCUUCUAAUUUUGUUCAUGAUUUUAGUUAUAUAUUAACCUUAAAUGUGAAGGAUCACAGUCAGAAAUUCAUACAUUUUCAAGGCUCAUUUCCCAAUAACUAAUUAAUCAUGCAUAGUAAGCAGAUCAUUGUAUACAACGGUUGUAUGUAAGAAUUUCUCGACGAAGCAGGGCGAAUGCUUUUAAGCUCCUUAGGCCUUGUCAACAUAACAAGAGAAGUGUGAAGAGUAAAUCUUCUCAAGUAUCAAAUGGAUUAAGUUUUUCUGAGACUAAUGUAAUUAAGAUCUGUCCCAGAAAUAAUUUGACAAAAUUAUAAAGAUAUUUUCAUUUAACAAUUGUAUCCAGAUGAGACAUAUAAUACAAUUAAAAUACCAGAUCCUAAUUAAUUAACUCUUAUUUAAUUUAAUAAUGAUCAUGAGAUGUGAUGUGAUGUGCAGCAUGAGAAGCACGAGUCAAAGAAAGACCCAGAGCAUGCUCACAGGCACAAGAUAGAGGAGGAGAUUGCUGCAGCAGCUGCAGUUGGGUCUGGUGGGUUUGCCUUCCAUGAGCAUCAUGAGAAGAAAGAGGCAAAGGAAGAAGAGGAAGAGUCUCAUGGAAAGAAGCACCACCAUCUCUUCUAAAUCUACAAAUAAAUACUAUAUUUUAUAUUUAUAUAUUGUGAUUUUACUUAUCUGUUAUGAGUGAGGUUUGAUCUCAACAAUGUUAUAAUUGUUGAGUGCUUAUGUGUGCUUGUUAU